rnacentral:lncRNA from 1 species
CUUUCUUUGGACUGGAAACCUGUCUUUGCAUAGGAGAUUUAGUCCUUUUUAUUCAGAGGAUUAGAAUUCUGAUGUGAAACUAACAGUCUGUGAGCCCUGGAACCUCCACUCAGAGAAGAUGAAGGAUAUCGACAUAGGAAAAGAGUAUAUCAUCCCCAGUCCUGGGUAUAGAAGUGUGAGGGAGAGAACCAGCACUUCUGGGACGCACAGAGACCGUGAAGAUUCCAAGUUCAGGAGAACUCGACCGGUCAGUUUCCUUUCCUAAGAGUCUCUUACCUGCUUGUUGUACUAAAACACAUCUUUUUUCGUAUAAUGGGUAAUUUAGAAACUUAUUUUUUGGCCGGGCGCGGUGGCUCACGCCUAUAAACCCAGCACUUUGGGAGGCUGAGGCGGGUGGAUCAUCUGAGGUCAGGAGUUCGAGACCAGCCUGACCAACAUGGUGAAAACCUGUCUCUACUAAAAGUACAAAAAUUAGCCAGGCGUGGUGGCGGGCGCCUAUAAUCCCAGAUACUUGCGAGGCUGAGGCACGAGAAUCGCUUGAACCCAAGAGGCGGAGGUUGCAGUGAGCUGGGAUCAUGCCACUGCACUCCAGCCUGGGCGAUAGAGCGAGACUCAGUCUCAAAAAAAAAUGUGUUUUUCUUUAUUGGCUUUAGGUUACUGUUAAGAAUUUAUGGUUAUUGAUAAGUCUCUGGUCCAUAGUAAGCACUCAAUAAGUGGAAGAGAGGCUGGCUGUCACCCUCUCACCCGGUCUGUUCUGAGCAUUCUCCUCUUUUUCACUUUUAUUCUAUGUUGGUGCCUUCUGAAAAGGCUAUACUUAACAGAAGACAACUUAUUGAGGGGGAGGGGGUCAUGGGGUCAAUGACAGGGAAUAUAAAGCCAAUUAAGCUUCAUUCAUGUACCUAAACAAAAUUGGUGUUUUCUUCUACUUUCUGUCAUGUGUGUUUAAAAUGUGAACCUGGCCAGGCACAGUGGCUCAUGCUUGUAAUCCCAGCACUUUGGGAGGUUGAGGUGGGUGGGUCACUUGAGGUCAGGAGUUUGAGACCAGCCUGGCCAACACGGUGAAACCCUGUCUCUGCUAAAAAUACAAAAAUUAGUGAGGUGUGGUGGUGGGCACCUGUACUCCCAGCUACUCAGGAGGGAGGCAGGAGAAUUGCUUGAAUCCAGGAGGCAGAGGUUGCAGUGAGCCAAGAUCACGCCACUGCACUCCAGCCUGGGCAACAGAGUGAGACUCCGUCUCC